rnacentral:rRNA from 1 species
UACGGGGGGGGCAAGCGUUGUUCGGAAUUACUGGGCGUAAAGGGCGCGUAGGCGGCCUGCUAAGUCGGAUGUGAAAUCCCUCGGCUCAACCGGGGAACUGCAUCCGAUACUGGUGGGCUUGAAUCCGGGAGAGGGAUGUGGAAUUCCAGGUGUAGCGGUGAAAUGCGUAGAUAUCUGGAGGAACACCGGUGGCGAAGGCGGCAUCCUGGACCGGUAUUGACGCUGAGGCGCGAAAGCGUGGGGAGCGAACAGG